CCAGCUCCAAUAGCGUAUAUUUAAGUUGUUGCAGUUAAAAAGCUCGUAGUUGGAUUUCGGGUGAGCCUCGCCGGUCCGCCAUUGGUGAGCACUGGCGGGGGUUACCUUCUUGCCGGGGACGGGCUCCUGGGCUUAAUUGUCCGGGACUCGGAGUCGGCGUUGCUACUUUGAGUAAAACGGAGUGUUCAAAGCAAGCCUACGCUUGAACGAUAUAGCAUGGAAUAGCGUGAUAGGACUCUGGCCUAUCCCGUUGGUCUGUGGGCAUGGAGUAAUGAUUAAGAGGGACAGUCGGGGGCAUUAGUAUUUCAUUGUCAGAGGUGAAAUUCUUGGAUUUAUGAAAGACUAACUUCUGCGAAAGCAUUUGCCAAGGAUGUUUUCA
rnacentral:rRNA from 1 species